GUCUGUGGCCAAACCAUCCUCAACGCGCCCAAUCUCAUCUGAUCUUGGAAGCUAACAAGGGUCGGGCCUGGUUAGUACUUGGAUGGGAGAUAAACCUGAGAUACAAAGUUUAUGUAGAUC
rfam:Heterocephalus glaber contig43797, whole genome shotgun sequence.